UACAAUUAAAUGUAAGACGCAUAGAGAAUUUUGAAUUCUUUAGAUUUGGUUUAAUUCCAAAAUUUGUAA
rnacentral:tRNA from 1 species